rnacentral:rRNA from 1 species
CACGGGGGGAGCAAGCGUUGUUCGGAAUCACUGGGCGUAAAGGGUGUCUAGGCGGUCAGGUAAGUGAGAUGUGAAAUGCCCCGGCUUACCCGGGGACCUGCAUCUCAUACUGCCUGGCUUGAGUAUGGGAGAGGAUGAGGGAAUUCCUGGUGUAGCGGUGAAAUGCGUAGAUAUCAGGAGGAACACCCGUAGCGAAGGCGGCACUCUGGGCCGAUACUGACACUGAGGAGCGAAAGCGUGGGGAGCGAACAGG